AUCCGGAUUAAUGGCAGGCUUAAUAGCAUUACCAAUUAGUGUUCUAUCAUUAAGAAUAAAGCGUAAUGUAGAUGAUGUUGAAGGAACCGACUGGCCAGUUCCAGCUGAAAUUGAUUUCAGGACUGUAUUGGUUCUUCAAGAAGAUUUUCUACUGAAGGAGAUGAAGAAAAAGGUAGAGAAUAAACAUCCUGAGGCACAGGAGAACUAUGCAUGGCAUGGUCUCUCAGAAUAUAAAGUGGACUAUAGAAACCAUGCAGUAAACUCCUCUGUCGGUCUGGUAUGCAUAAUUGGAAGACCAAUUGCUUUUCUAUUAAAUGGAUGAACUCCCACAGUUUUAAAUGCAUGGACUAUAUUUAAAGUUGUGAUGGACUUCAUCCAAGCUUUUGAAAAGAUACCACCCAAUAUAUUUAUGAUCUUGUAUGGCUUUUCCUGUUGAAAUUUAAGAUAUUCUUUGUGCCACUGGAUUAUGAGAGGGCCAAAUAUUCCUUUAUCAAGUGGUUGCGUCAAAUGUGUGGUAUUUGGAGGGAAAGUAAACAGUAUCACAUCAUGCUUUCUUGCUAAACGAAUGGUUUUUUGAGAAUAAUGAGAAGAGUGAUCAUCUAACUACAAACUAAGUGAUCUUGCUGGAACUGCAUAUCGCAGAAAGUGUUUCAUAAAUCAGUGAAAAAAGAGUGUGUGAUCCAUCAACCCUUUCUGAGAAAGUCCAUGGAAUGAUCCAGGAACUUCAUUAUUUGUCUGCUCAGUCCUCAAACUUUCAGUAUUCCAAAUGAUCAUUGGUGGGAUCAUAACUCCUCCAGCAUUAAAACAUCCUACUACAGUCACUUGCUCUUUUUUCCGCAUGUAACAACACUUGGACUUUUUUCACCCCUUUUUGAAGCUAUUUUCUCUUGGACAUCUCUUGUAGAUUUGAGAGCAGCAACUCUUCACAGAGUGCCACAAUAUUUACUUAUUAUUAAAUGUCACAGCUCGCAAGAAUUUUUCAAAAUAUUUUACUUAGAGACUAGCUGAAUAACAAAGAACUCUCUUUCAAAUAAGGCCAACUGGCUUUAUAUAUGCACAAAUUAUUAAUAAUUAGUUAAUUAAUUAAUAUACAUUAAUGGUAAUAAUCCAGUUUCUAUACAGUUCCAUGACAUUAAUGACAUUUAUUUAUAAACACGUGACUAUAUUAUGACGUCAUUAGUGCAGUGGUGUUGUUGUAGUAAGCAGCACAGUAAUGCUGCUCUUAAACUUUGAGAAAGAAGUCCAGAAGGCAUUUCAGGCUACUUGCUGCUUUUAUUUGGUCCUCUUUCUUCCUCUUUUGUUUUUGUCUUAAACAGAGCUCUUUGGUCAUAUGACUGCUUGUCCUACACUUGGUUCGAGCAAUCUGAUUGGGACACCAAAAUCUCUGGCAUGAAGCACACAUUUUAGAUAGCAGUGUCUCCAGACCCUUCCUCCACUGGUAGCGAAGGGGCGGGGCGAGACCAAUUUGCAGCAAACAAUCAGCAAGAUAAGACUAAAAUGCUGUCCAAAGACUUCUCUAGCAAGAAGAAAGGUUAGGAAAGCAGAUAUAGAAUCUUUUUUCUUCAUAUAAAGGACACUGAUAAAGUUGAAUGCAAGUCAGAAAGCUGCGUGCAUGCACUGUAGCUACCUGCAUGUAUCAUGAGAUCUAUUCUAGGUGUUGCUUCUUCUCUACUACAUGUAGGUUAACAAAGCAGAUGUAAAAUUUUUUUCAAAUAUGAUUUGUUCAGUGACUGCUUUUAACUAUAAGCAAGAUAACUUUAAUUUCAUGUUGCAGAGAUUCUUAAGUGAUGAAGAAAAUUUAAGGCAACAAGAUCUACAUGUUGCUUUGCUGGCUCAUACAUGUAAAUCAUACUGCACAUAAUCUAUAGCUUGCUUAGGCCUGCCCCUUUAAUGUUUUACAUUCUUCUAGUUAUGUGUAAGUUUGAUUGUAGAUGCACCUUUCACUGUGAGAGGUGAGCCAUUGGCAAUAGCUAAAUGGGAUAGCAUAGCCUUUAGUGAUGGAGCAUCCUGGGGCUUGCAUAAUUGUAGGAUUUUAUACCAAGUGGAUGAAUUCAGCAAAGUAACUGCUGUCCCAGUAUCAACAAGGAAACAAUAUAGUUGAUCAAAAGUUUUGAAUGAAACAUAAAAAGUUAGUCUUUUCCCCCACCCCUUCACUGGAGGAGGAAGGGUCUGGACUCUGGAGACACUCGAAGCUUUUCUUGCACACAAUGGAAUGUACAUGUAAUUAGUGUAGCUUGAUCAUUUGACCGGAUACACUCAUGUGUUAAUUUCACAUGGUAGACACACCAUCAAAACAUGGCUACCAGAAUUAUUAAGAAGGAAUCAUAGCUAAAAACUCAUUUUGUAUCAUUAAUAUGUUUUGUUUUUCUUCAUUCUUUUCUACUUAUUAAAUUCAUUUUGUUAUUAAUCUAAAACAACAUGUUUAACAAUGCAAAAUAUUUUAAAAUUGUAUAAUGCAAAAAAGCCAUGGCUAUUAGAAGCAUCAUUUGCAGAUGAGGUAGAAGUAGUUCCCCAACUUCCAUAAAAGUGUGUACCCCUAUAGCACUGCACAUAAUUAUUAGACAACAAUCAUAAGUUAAGUGAACUGACCAUUUCUUAACUUGUUGCUUAUCAAAAGGCAAACUCAGUAGCUUUAAUCAGUGAUCAGGGGACUAAGGAAGAGUUUUUCUGUUCCAGAACUGAUUCUGCAGAGGAUAUAUGGCAGUACUGAGUCUUGGUAGUGAUUGACAUUAAUUUACCAUGUUGCUGUGACACCCUCAGCCAAUGAGUUCGGAUUCUUCUGUUUAACUGUGAGGACCACUUGUUGGUCUGUAAUAGAAUUGAAUAACUGAGUAAGGGAAAGCUGUUUGUGUGCUGCAGUACUGAGAUGUGGGUAAACCUUCUUAAACCAACCCCCCAUAGCAUACUUUUUCGCAACUUUCUGUUAGCCUCGUAGUGCGAGUGGAGAAGUCGGCAAAGUAUAAUUCUCUUUUGCCCUUUGGCUCGAAAUGUACCUUUAGUGCUAAGACUGCAGCACCAAGUGAUGCUUUAUCGGUGUCAGAGAGUUAGUGAAAGAUGGUUUGAGCUCUGUUAGUGAACCAUGCCCUGAGAAAUUUUAAUUUAUUGCUGACGAAUUUGUGUUCGUGCAGUUGUUGAAAUGUAACAACCACUGUUCUCAGUUGGCCUCUCCCGAAUAUGCAUCUGGCACUAUGAUGGGCUUAGAAGCCAUGGUGAUCAGAGAUGGUUGCCUGAGAGUUAGAGUAAAAAAA